AUUGAACGCUGGCGGCAGGCCUAACACAUGCAAGUCGAGCGAGCGGCGGACGGGUGAGUAAUGUAUGGGGACUGCCCGAUAGAGGGGGAUAACUACUGGAAACGGUGGCUAAUACCGCAUACUAUCGGAUAACCCAUAUGGGAUUAGCUAGUAGGUGGGGUAAAGGCUCACCUAGGCGACGAUCUCUAGCUGGUCUGAGAGGAUGAUCAGCGACACGGGGACGGAGACACGGCGCAGACGCCGACGGAGGCAGCAGUGGGGAAUAUGGCGCAAUGGGGGAAAGCCUGAGGCAGCCAUGCCGCGGGGAUGAAGAAGGCCUGAGGGUUGUAAAGUACUUUCAGCGGGGAGGCGUUACCCGCAGAAGAAGCACCGGCUAACUCCGUGCCAGCAGCCGCGGUAAUAC
rnacentral:rRNA from 1 species